rnacentral:rRNA from 1 species
GAUGAACGCUGACAGAAUGCUUAACACAUGCAAGUCUACUUGAAUUUGGGUUUUUAACUUAGAUUUGGGUGGCGGACGGGUGAGUAACGCGUAAAGAACUUGCCUCACAGCUAGGGACAACAUUUAGAAAUGAAUGCUAAUACCUAAUAUUAUGAUAAUAGGGCAUCCUAUAAUUAUGAAAGCUAUAUGCGCUGUGAGAGAGCUUUGCGUCCCAUUAGCUAGUUGGAGAGGUAACAGCUCACCAAGGCGAUGAUGGGUAGCCGGCCUGAGAGGGUGAUCGGCCACAAGGGGACUGAGACACGGCCCUUACUCCUACGGGAGGCAGCAGUGGGGAAUAUUGGACAAUGGACCGAGAGUCUGAUCCAGCAAUUCUGUGUGCACGAUGAAGUUUUUCGGAAUGUAAAGUGCUUUCAGUUGGGAAGAAAGAGAUGACGGUACCAACAGAAGAAGUGACGGCUAAAUACGUGCCAGCAGCCGCGGUAAUACGUAUGUCACGAGCGUUAUCCGGAUUUAUUGGGCGUAAAGCGCGUCUAGGUGGUUAUAUAAGUCUGAUGUGAAAAUGCAGGGCUCAACUCUGUAUUGCGUUGGAAACUGUAUAACUAGAGUACUGGAGAGGUAAGCGGAACUACAAGUGUAGAGGUGAAAUUCGUAGAUAUUUGUAGGAAUGCCGAUGGGGAAGCCAGCUUACUGGACAGAUACUGACGCUGAAGCGCGAAAGCGUGGGUAGCAAACAGG